rnacentral:tRNA from 1 species
UGGCUCAGAAGGUAAAGCGUCUGUCUACAAUGCAGGAGACCCAGGUUCAAUCCCUGG